AGAUAGGGAGAGAGGGAGGGAGAGAGAGAGAGACAGAGACAGAGAGAGACGGAGAGAGAUGCCAUCCAAAUUGCCUACAGAAACAGCAGAGAGAGCUUCUCUUCUGAGCUACUGAGACACAGAAGAUCUUACUUUGCUGCUAUAGCAUUCCUUCAUUCUUCCAAGACAUAAAUGUGCAGCAACAGCAGUAAUUUUCUCAGUCAGUGACAGAUGGAUCCAGCGUGACGUGCCACAGAAGGCCUGACCCUGGUAAACAGGGAGCACAGCCUUGGAGCCCUGCAGGGUGUAAGAGGGAGAUGGAAAACUUCUUGGAGAUUUUCAGGGUUCAGUGUGCUCCCUGCCACCUUGCUGCCUGCCAGAAAGCCUUCCAGGUUAUCACUGAACUGCUUCUUACAUUGUGGUUGCCAUAAUAAGAGAUAUGGAGAACUAUGGACCCAGGUGAUCUGGGCUCUGACUUUUGCAAAGACGUCAGGUAGGCAGGCAGUUAUAAGUACCUACAGAGUGCACCACAGGUUCCUUCAGACACUGGGCAGCUGAUGUCUCACUGCUCUUCUGCAUCUCUGUCCCCUUAUCUGUGAUAAGACAGUGAUAAUACAUUAUUUACCUCUGGGCAGGACUGGAGAAUGGACG
rnacentral:lncRNA from 1 species